GUUUAAUUGAACUCUUCUAACUAAGGAGGUGAGAUAGGAAUGAAAUCACCAAAACGCUUAGAAAAUAUGUCAAUUUUCUUCCUGUUUAAAGCUUUUAACUAGCAUUGAUUAUCAGCUGUUUUUACGGAAAACGUGGAAUCUAAAUAAUAUACCGUUUCCCUGCUCUGCUGCUAUUGGCAACACAUUUUUGUCAUGUCAUCUGCAACAGACGAUCAUACAUAUGUGGCGGAUUAUCGAUAUAGAUACAACUAGGUAGCAAUAGCAGUGGAAGCCCGGAUUUGCAAGCCAAAUGAGGGAAAGACAUAAUUCUGAAAAGGAGCAUGUUUUUCAUUUCCACACAUGCAUGUGUAUCACUAUGGACAUCUAAUGUUUUUGUGGGAUUUUGUCCAGCAGUUUGCCUUAAAAGAAUUUUUUAUAUUUUAGUUUCAUAUUUAUGUGGAUUCCAAUAAAAAUCAUUCAAACUUC
rnacentral:sRNA from 1 species